CCACACGCCCUGCCUGCCAGUGUCACAGCCUCCCUCCCCCGCAUCCACUGCAGGCAGGCUUCCGAAGGAGCAAGAAGAACAGCUGCUGCGCCACAAUAGUUCCUUACAGAGCCGGUAAAUAGACAAGGCCCCAUUUUCUUGACCUUUGCCACCUCUGCUCCAUCCUCAGAAUGAGUGUUUUGAGUCUGGGCUGUGAGGGGGAAGGGAAGGAGGAUAAGCGAGGCUACUUUUUCACUUUGCCUUUCUCUGUCCUUAAAAAUAAGAGAAGUGUUCAUUGGGAAAUUUUGCUUAGUAAUUUUGUCCCCAGUCUUAAAAACAACCAAACACACACACACACAAAAAAACGAUGUCGUGUGACGUGUGCAUGUGUGUAUCUGUUUCACAAUCCCAUCUUAAGAGGAGUUGCUUCAUAAAAGAGGCCUCUCUUUCUUUAGGAGGCUGUGCGAUUUGCUCAGUGGAGGAGAAGCUCACUGGCAUUGUUCAAGCAGGUCACUGCACUUGGACAAGCUGGCCAGUGAGGGGGGACUCUGAACGCGGGUAGCAGCUCGGCGUUUCCAAGUGGGUAAAAAUAAUGUUAGCUCCUUCAGAGAAGCAAGUGGGAAUCCAUAUGCUCUUUCAGCUCUCAGGCAAGGACCACCCAAUAGCGCCUUUCACCAUGCAAUAAAGAAGCAUUUCUUCCUAUAGGAGCGUUUCUUCUUAGCAGGUUGGGAGCGUUGUAUCUGCACAGAGUUCCAAUGUGACCCUGGCUUGGUGGCUGUGAACUGCAUUUGGAAGCAACAGUCACCCCAAUCCACUGCCAUACAAGCUUCCAGCAGAGCAGCCCCAUGUGAUAGAUCUUUUCUUUUUGUGAAAAAGUCAGAGAGCAAGAAGUAAAUCAAAGCUUCGAGCCUUGCCUGCUAGGCUGUCCCUGCGUACGGAGCUCAAAGGUGAUGCUGCUCGCUCUCACCCCCUCACUAACAAAAGACUCCCUAAUCCUGAUUCCCUUACACAAAAAACGUGUAAAACCAGCCUGGGGACUGGAAAUAAAAUGAAUACUGCAGGAGCAGCUGGCACAUUAAUACCCCCCAAAACACUAGCUGGCACCUCACCCUGAAACCCAAUCAUUCUGUCUCGUACCACUCCGCCUCCACACACACCCAGAAGAAAUAGCUGAGGAAAGAAGUAAUUGCCCACAAAUGUGGUAAAUCAGAAAAGAAUGGCUGUGCCCCAACUUUACAAUCAAAUAUUACUUCCCCUUCUGAUGAGCCACUGCCUGAACAACCCUCAGUAAUUUUAUUUUCAUUUCCUGAAGGCUUGAGUCUUGCCUUAUAGCUAGCAAGUUUUGUAUUUGGUCACCAUUUUCUGAGCUCUGUCUCUUGUCAGCUUUGCAUUUUCUCAAAGUAAACCCAGCCCAAACUUCUGGGAAAUCUAAGUACCGUGUCUUCAAGAUCUCUGCACUGGAGCAAUUUCCCAAGGCUUGGUUUCUGGCUAUGUUACCGGAUGCUCACGCCCGAUGAAGCCUGACUCUCCAGGGGCCCAGGAUGGCAGAGAAGUUCCAGGUUUCAUGUCAAGACAGAGACAGAACAGCUUCUAGAGGAAAACAAGAGGCCAUCUCCUCUCAGACUUACGUACAAGCUUCUCAGUGGACUUGUCAGAUCUCAUUGCCUAAAUUUGUGUCCCAUGCACAUUCCUAACAACAAUAAUGGCCACUAUUGGCUUCAGCUAAUGGGGAUCCACCUUCUGGAUAUGGGUACAAGUUAAUGAAGCUUACAGCUGAGAGGAUGUGGGAUGAUAAGGGAACCGAUUAGAAUUCAGUUAGGAAGGUCAAGGUGGGGAAUAGUGGUUGGGAACCCACUGUGCCAACUACACUGCUUUUCUUCAUUGUUCUUGGAGACUCACAGACUCAAGAUUUUAAUUGCCUCAGUGCAGAUGAACCUCAUCACCACCUUUGACCAAGACCCCUCUUGAUUUCUAGUUACACUUAGUGCGUGCGUGCUAAGUUGCUUCAAUUGUGUCCGACUCUGUGAAACCCCACGAACCAUGGCCUGCCAGGCUCCUCUGUCUAUGCAAUUCUCCAGGCAAGAAUACUGGAGUAGGGAGCCAUUCCCUUCUCAGGGAACCUGUACUCAUAAGUAUAUUGAUCAAGGCAUUGGUUAUCUAUUGUUGCAUAACAACUUGCCUCAAAAAACUUAAUGGCUGAAAAUAAUAU
ensembl:lncRNA